CCGCGUGAGGGAUGACGGCCUUCGGGUUGUAAACCUCUUUCAGUAGGGAAGAAGCGAAAGUGACGGUACCUGCAGAAGAAGCACCGGCUAACUACGUGCCAGCAGCCGCGGUAAUACGUAGGGUGCGAGCGUUAUCCGGAAUUAUUGGGCGUAAAGAGCUCGUAGGCGGUUUGUCGCGUCUGUCGUGAAAGUCCGGGGCUUAACCCCGGAUCUGCGGUGGGUACGGGCAGACUAGAGUGCAGUAGGGGAGACUGGAAUUCCUGGUGUAGCGGUGGAAUGCGCAGAUAUCAGGAGGAACACCGAUGGCGAAGGCAGGUCUCUGGGCUGUAACUGACGCUGAGGAGCGAAAGCAUGGGGAGCGAACAGGAUUAGAUACCCUGGUAGUCCAUGCCGUAAACGUUGGGCACUAGGUGUGGGGACCAUUCCACGGUUUCCGCGCCGCAGCUAACGCAUUAAGUGCCCCGCCUGGGGAGUACGGCCGCAAGGCUAAAACUCAAAGGAAUUGACGGGGGCCCGCACAAGCGGCGGAGCAUGCGGAUUAAUUCGAUGCAACGCGAAGAACCUUACCAAGGCUUGACAUGUUCUCGAUCGCCGUAGA
rnacentral:rRNA from 1 species